GACUCGGUGGAGGAUUGCAAUGGUAGCACAUCUGACUCCAAAUCAGUAGGUUGCGUUUUCAAAUUACGUCCGGGUAA